rfam:Gossypium hirsutum cultivar TM-1 chromosome 7, whole genome shotgun sequence
CUCAAGGAAGCGCUUUGUCCGCGUGGACAAAAAACGCAUCCUUGAGGGCGCGCUUUAUGUCUACGUGAACAAAGCGCUUCCUUGAGG